rnacentral:rRNA from 1 species
AUUGAACGCUGGCGGCAGGCCUAACACAUGCAAGUCGAGCGGAUGAAGGGAGCUUGCUCCUGGAUUCAGCGGCGGACGGGUGAGUAAUGCCUAGGAAUCUGCCUGGCAGUGGGGGAUAACGUCCGGAAACGGGCGCUAAUACCGCAUACGUCCUGAGGGAGAAAGUGGGGGAUCUUCGGACCUCACGCUAUCAGAUGAGCCUAGGUCGGAUUAGCUAGUUGGUUGGGUAAAGGCCUACCAAGGCGACGAUCCGUAACUGGUCUGAGAGGAUGAUCGGUCACACUGGAACUGAGACACGGUCCAGACUCCUACGGGAGGCAGCAGUGGGGAAUAUUCGACAAUGGGCGAAAGCCUGAUCCAGCCAUGCCGCGUGUGUGAAGAAGGUCUUCGGAUUGUAAAGCACUUUUAGUUGGGAGGAAGAGAAGUAAGUUAAUACGUUGCUGUUUUGACGUUACCAACAGAAUAAGCACCGGCUAACUUCGUG